rfam:Clostridium estertheticum subsp. estertheticum strain DSM 8809, complete genome.
UUACUGGCAACAGUAGGGUCUGAAGGAAGUAGCAGGGGAAAUGUGGAACAUAACGAAAGUAAAUCGAAGAUGGCUUACAAAGUGGGUAACUCUGAAAAAUAUGGGAAAGCCUUAAAGUUAGAUAACUUUAUAAGUUAAGACGGAUGCAUUCGUAUUUAGGCAGGCAAA